CUCAGGACCGCAACGGAGCCUAUUGUAUCAUGGGACACGCAUGGCUACUCUCUGGUCUUAGAGCGUCGGUGCGGACUUUCGCUCGGUGCUCUGUGCACCUAUUCCUCCCGCCUGCUCAAACUUCUUUCCUAUUUAUGAAGAGGGGGGCGUCCCAUCUCCCGGAAGCAAGGAGAUGCGAGAGGACGGCGCCGGUUUAGGUGCAGCUAAAGUUAAGCAAACUUAAUUCUAAGGAAUUACUCUCAAAACUUCUGCUACUAAAGAACAAGAGAAAUUGGUAGGGAAAUGGAAAGACAAAAGUUCUGAUGAUUUGCCCUUAAUUUCACCAAGUUAAGUCAACUUCAAGAGUCCUCUUGUCAGAAAGUCUAACACGGAUCGGUGGGGUCUUACUCCAUGAAUUUAUUCAAGGAACCUGGCUUCUUCUGUGUAGUGCUCUACCACCUUCAAGGCAGGUCGGGACACACAAGCCCAAGUUUUCUUCCUUCCCGGCGCCUGGUGCAGGUGAAGGAUCUGGAACCAGGCAGUCAAGAGGUGCGGAGAACACUGGGACGUGGCAGUUUUCCUUCGUGUUCGCGUAUGCUGCAGUAUGCCUACUGUCACGUUCAGUGAGCUGCGAACGCUGCAAGUCUGCCGGGUUUUUGUUUUGUUUUGUUUUGUUUUGUUUUUUAACAUCUUUAUUGGAGUAUAAUUGCUUUACAAUGUUGUGUUAGUUUCUGCUGUAUAACAAAGUGA